AUUUUCUUAGUACAAAUAGUACAGAUGGCUUCCAACCAUCCAGCCCUAGUUUGAAUCUAGGAGAAAAUA
rnacentral:tRNA from 1 species